rnacentral:rRNA from 1 species
AUUGAACGCUGGCGGCAUGCUUUACACAUGCAAGUCGAACGGUAACAGGGAGCUUGCUCCGCUGACGAGUGGCGAACGGGUGAGUAAUGCGUCGGAACGUGCCGAGUAGUGGGGGAUAACGCAGCGAAAGUUGUGCUAAUACCGCAUACGUACUGAGGUAGAAAGUGGGGGACCUUCGGGCCUCACGCUAUUCGAGCGGCCGACGUCUGAUUAGCUAGUAGGUGAGGUAAAGGCUCACCUAGGCGACGAUCAGUAGCGGGUCUGAGAGGAUGAUCCGCCACACUGGGACUGAGACACGGCCCAGACUCCUACGGGAGGCAGCAGUGGGGAAUCUUGGACAAUGGGGGCAACCCUGAUCCAGCGAUGCCGCGUGGGUGAAGAAGGCCUCCGGGUUGUAAAGCCCUUUAGGUUGGGACGAAGGUUGCGGGAGGAUAAUGCUCGUAACUUGACGGUACUAACAGAAUAAGCACCGGCAAACUCUGUGCCAGCCGCCGCGGUAAAAC